AGUGAAAUAGUUGGGUUAUAUGGUAAUUCCAUUCCUAGUUUUUUGAGGAAUCUCCAUACUGUUUUCCAGAGUGGUUGUGCUAAUUUGCGGUCACACCAACAAU
rnacentral:pre_miRNA from 1 species